rnacentral:sRNA from 1 species
GAAUUUUCUUUUGGUCUCAAAUGUGUCUCCCGCGACCUUUGUAUGUGACCUCCAGCUGUCUCGUUCUGAAGCCAGGUGCACUCUUCUAUGUUAGCAUGUCGAAUUUUCUUUUGGUCUCAAAUGUGUCUCCCGCGACCUUUGUAAGUGACCUCCAGCUGUCUCGUUCUGAAGCCAGGUGCACUCUUCUAUGUUAGCAUGUCUGUUAAGUCGACCACCUUUCAUCUCACCAGAAAGACUGCGUACGUUCCUCACCCAAACGGCCCUGCCCAGCGUAACUGUCGGACCAUGAGAAGUUCCUCUACGCUGCCCAUACAGGCGUUCGCAAAGACAUCUCUGCGUAUGGUGCAGUCUAGCCACCGUGUCUCCUAAGACACUUGCGAGGCACUCCUUUGGUUUGGUAACAACAAGUACACAAUUCGUAUGACAUAUGUUUGUACACUAUUAUCAUUUUACAUAAAGUCAUACUAUAAAAUUAUACAUAAGACAAACAUUUUGAAUGAACGAAUUAAUCGCAUACUAUUUCAUAUUGUUUUGCUUUUUAUCUCCAAAAUGUUUAGUAUUUAAUAGUUAUAAGUCUUUUACUAGUAAAAGAAAAAAGGUAUUAGGUU